rnacentral:tRNA from 1 species
GCAGGAAUUCCAUGGAUUUAUGGAGCCUGUGUUGGAAGCACAGGCGUUGUUUUUCCAUUCGUGCCGGGCGAGUCUGCUUGUU